ACUAAAAAUAGCACAAACGUCACAUAUGCCUGACUUACACACGCUGUGUAUUCAAAUUUGUAUUUGAACAUUUUAACAUAAACAUGGAAUAUGCGUUCAAAGGGAACAGUACGGGAUUCUUACUUUUCAAAGGGAUUGGCAGUGCAGUACACAUUUAUCGUACUUGAUGAAAUGUUACCAGGGAAAAGCUGAAAUUGUGUCAUAUUACCGGAAUGACUAACAUCAACUGAUUUUGACAUGUUGGAACUAACAGCAACUUGAAUGUCAGAAAUAUCAUUCUCAUUAUUCUGACAUGUUUGAAUGCAUGGAGUAGGAUUUACAAGCGUCUUAAUUUUACCAGACAGAACCUUGUUGGACUCUACAAUAUCACGAUCAUGCAUAAGUGACAGCUUUCUAGAGAAUGGAAGAGCAGUGAUGUGUCUAUUAAUACCAGUACGGAUGGAGACGAAUGUGGGCUUUGAAUAUUCCUUCCCCGUUUAGAGAGAAGAGCUGCAUAAAACUGCUCUAGUAGUGCAUCUAGCUCUGCUACCGGCAUCAUUUCAAACUCUGAGUGACCAAAACCAGCUUCCAUCAUGUAAUCUGAAAAUGGGAAAUACAUAAUUGCAUAGAGUGUACAUAUAUGUACCUUAAAGGAAUUA
rnacentral:lncRNA from 1 species